rnacentral:lncRNA from 1 species
UAGAAUAACAAGACAAAUGGAUUUUGCUUACUCUACUAUUACAAUAUGAACAGGAAGACCCUGGAUCCAUGUGAAAUCCAAAAUAGAGAAGGAAUAUCCCACUGUGCAGUAUACAUCAUGGACAGUACGUGAUAUAAUCUCAUUUUACCUUUCGUGCUUAAAAGUUGUCGCCCUGUGAUCGAGUAAGGAGGAAAAAAAUGUGACUAUUAUAUUGGAUGAAUAAUUUGCAGUUCUGGCCAGUUGUUGGAUGGGUAAAUCACCAAUAUGUACCACUUCAGUUCCGGGUUAUAGUCCAAAGUGUUGUUGCAUGUUUCUGGUAUGUUGUUUUCUCCCACUUGGAAUUUUUCACGUUACAUUCUAGAGAACAAGUUUAUCCUUGAUUUCACUUCUAUUACGACUAGAGUAACUUUGGAUUUGCAAUAUCAGUUUUUAUUUCAUUCCUUUCAUUGAUUUUCCAGGGGAAUAUUUUUGAACCUGCGAGCAAGGUCUAUGCCGCUAAAAAAAGGUUAAUGAAGUCGUGAGAAAGGAAUUUGCAACAAGUACGAUUAUGUAGUCUCUGGACACUUGACUUUGCCUCUCUUAACUUGUAUUUUUCUUGAGCAGUUUAGACGUAAAAUCUGAAUGUCGAUGCUAUUGCGUAUCUGUAAGCACUUUAUUAUGCCGAACUAUUUAUUUAUCCAAGCUGUGGUAGUAAUGGCUUUUUCGAGAAUAGUCUUUUUUAUUUUUUGCCUCAGAAAAGAAAUGGUCCUAUAAUUUGCAAUAGUUUGGCCUUCAGGGAUUGAAUUUAUGUCCUGAUGAUAUUCAAUUUGUCACUGUCCAUGAUGUGAAAAGGGUAAAACCAAUAAAGUUACUUUUAAGCAACUUAUUUCGUCGAUGGUU